CCAGACGCCCCUUCCUCCUCCAGCCUGUGUGUGUCCUUCUCCUCUCCAUCACCUGCUGACUUAUUAACGCAGCAGCGAUGAGCAGCCGGACUACUGGGACGGGAGCGUGAUGAAGGUGAUCCUGCAGCAGAGCGUGCACGAGCGCUCAGUGCACGCGGACAGGAGAGACGUUUAUUUCAAUCAAACUCAGUAACCCACAUCCUUUGAAACGGUAUAAUAACAGGCCGGAGGGGGGAAAUGGAUGAAAUUUCUGUUUUUGCUGGAAAUGCACAUUGGAAUGUUGCCAACGGCUGGCCGGUGAGUUAACAAAAAGCACACAGGAAACAUCUGGACCAUCUGCCGAACCCUUUCAAAUUCUAAAUGGGACUUGAUAGUGCCGUAGUGACCAUCUCCGAGCACACGAUGGAACCAAAGCUGUAGUUCAUGUCAGUGCAGCCUUCAGCCUUCAAAGCAUCAGCUUUGUUCACAGACAGACAGAUUUGCUGCUGUUCACCAAACCAGCUUCUGUAACGUCACAAGCCUGUUUCCUGGGGCGCUUAAUUCCAACAUCUGUUUAAAAUGAGCAACACACUAUAGUGAUCUUCAUUUUUUCCUCAUAUUGACCGCAGUGUGGCAGCAAAAGGCUGCAGUGUGACGAAUCCCUUCACUCUCAUUGUCCUGGUUAAAGUAUUAUCUUUAGUAGAAAACAUGUUGGAAAAUAAAUUUUAUUGGGAAUGUUUUUAAUCACAAAGCAGCAAUAUACAGUGAAAAGGUAAGCUGGAAGGUUAUUUCUAUUUAGUUGUAUUUACUGUCCGUCGUUGGUGUCGGUCUACGCGUGAUCCUGAUACAGGGCGACCUCCGGUGGACAAGUUAGGAAUAGCAGCUCCUUUUAGUGGAUCCGGCCCACCAGGGGGUCCAGCUCUUAUGACAAAGUAUUGCGUUAGAGUCUAACACGAUACUUAAUAUAUCGUGUUAGACUCUAACGCAAGUCAUAAUAAGAGAUUUAACGUGUUAAAACAUCUAUGAAACGUGCUAAAUAAAUAGUGUAUGUUAACAAUAACCGCAUAAUACGAACAAAUCAAUAUUAAUAUUAAUGUUGUUACCAUUCACUAUCAUUAAUAAUAAUAAUAUAUGUAUGCAAUACAAAUAGAAUGAAUCAAACUUAAUGAUGAUGAUUAUUAUUCUUGACUUAACUAUAAUAAUUGUGUAGUGUAAUAUUUUAUGUUAUUACUAGUUUUAUUAUUACAAGCAUUAUCAUAAUUAUUAUUUACAUUAUUAAUAUGUUAAUCACUUUAAUAUUAAUGUUCUUAUAUGCAUUUUUUAAAUGCAUUUAUGAACAUUUAUGUGGCUGGUGUUGUCUUUCUUUUUUUUAAACUUGUUAACCUGACAACAAGACCUGGAGUGGGACGUCCAUGAGAAUGGAGCAGUCCGGACUCCCCCACCCACCACUUUGGUGGCGUUAGGAGGAGUUCAGUUUGGCGCUCGCGCCGUCUUGCUGUUUGACGAGAUGGUGAGGACGUCCCCGGGUCUCGUUCCUGGGUCCUUCACACGUUGUGUUUUCGACACCAGCUGCAGGGUCAUCUACGUCUUCGUUGGGUCUCGGAGCCCUGGAGGUCCAAUUAGCUUGAAAUAACCUCAUCAGCGAAACGCUCUCCAUUCCCCUCCUGUACGUUCCUAUAAGGGCCGGCUGACACUCAAGACUUCCACUGGACUCCAAUGGAGACAUGCUCUUCAGGGAAAGACCAAGGAUUUGAAAAUUCAAUAUUUUUUGGUGCAGCAACCAAUGAUUCUUUUUGUUACUGAUUCGUUUGAAGAUUAUUUUUAUUAAGGGGUUUCUUGAGGAGUUUCGUCGUUUUUCUGAGUGGGACCUUGCUUUAAUUGUUCCUGUGAGCACGUGGGUGACCAACAGGGUGCACAUCGCUGCCAGUGGAUUCAGAUGAUGCCGCUCUUCUGCAGGUGGUGUAAAGGUGCUAAGAAAGGCAACAAAGAAGAAGAUGGGUAGAUGUUAAACAAGGUUUUUUUUUAAGGAGAAGGAAAUACAUUCGUUGAAAGGAAUAAGACACGUUUCAGUUCGAAACACUGACUGUAACCAUCACUUUUUUGAACUACAAUGCGCCAAAGGACACCUUUUAAUGACUAAUUUGUUAUAAUAAGAAAGUACAAAUGCUAGAGUCCAAGGUCAUUCCUUACAUUCCAGCUCUUGAAAGUCUGAUUUCAGUUAUCAUAUAUUUUUUCAAAGAAUCUUCACUCUCUACAAAGGGCACACUUUAUAAUGACGUUAUUUUUAGUCCCCAUGAAUGCUUUUCGAAUCAGUAAUAAACAAUUGAACAUGAACAGCCCUCCCAGCAUCCCUUUAACCGGCAGAAACAGAACACGCUGAGGAGGAGCAACAGAGACGGACUGUUUCAGUAUUGUACCCUACAAGGACGCGUAUUCGAGUAAAGCGUGUUAUUGGCCGCCGAGCUGCAGUUUGCCGUAUCUCCACCAGAUGGAAGCCAAAACCCUGACCUCAUAUCAUUCAAAUCCAGGUAUGACUUUAGUGAUAUAAGAUGACAGUUGAGAAUACCGGCCCUAUGACUAAGCGUCAAAGCAGCCUCAAGACUAUCAUCAACACAAAAGCUCACAUUCCUUUGUACUAUGAAAUAAAUCCGGUCAAAGAGUCCUUGAAAUACUCCAGACGGUUUCCAUUGCAUCAGCGCAGUGCUGAACGGUCCCAAAACGUUUAAGAAAAGAACGACGGUACUUGUGAACAGGACACGGUGACACAUUUCGUGUCACGCCUUACUCGCGCGAUCCACAUGGACAGAAAUAUUUUGUAUAUUUUUCCAUCGGCCCUUGAGAGGUUCAAAAAUCCCACGGCUCACCAGAGAAACAGUCUUUCCUGUAAUUCUAUUUCAUCAAAUGGGGUCAUGAGUUCCGAAAUUUGUUAUUUGUGAGUGGGUGUGUGGUUGGGAAACUACGCAUGGAUGAAGUCUAAAAUUUACACCCAACAAUGGAGAACACCUGACUUUAGUUCCUCAUCACAAAACGCCACUGCUUAAAUACUUUCCCCGACCUUAAGGGGACAUUACCCUCCAAUACGCUUUCUGCAAUGCAAAUCCCCCUUUUCCUACCGUUCUUUUUAAAAACCUCUUUCACACAUGUAAGCCUAAAUACAUUACAAAUAAAAUAGAUAAAAAACAACAACAACAAAAAAAGCCAUUGGACAGAAUGGUCUCGAGACCUACUUCUUAAGAUCCUCUUAAAAGGUAAUGGUUGAUUCCUGUUGAUUUUCAUUGACUUAAAGCCAUUCUGCUCCCUGUUAUUGUGGCUUUACUUUAUCAUGUCCAAGAAAAUAAAGUCCACUCACUC
ensembl:lncRNA